GUCAUUCUUUACAUCUUUGAUUUUUUUUCACUGUUGUUUUUGUUUUAAUCAUAUGGCAUUUUUAUUUUGCUUGAAUUAGUGUUUAUCCUUGCUUUUUCCCAAAAGGAGAGAGUUGAUGUUUUACAUCGUAUUUAAGCACACAGGCCUCUUCUGAUACUUGGAUUUGUUUUAAAAAUACAGUAAAAAUGUCAGGUCUCAAUGUUGGCUUUUUCAAAGGGUCUCACACAUCAGAAUUUUUCACUUCUGAAACUAGAGGUGUUGCUCAGUGGUAGAGCCCAUGCUUAGCAUAAACAAGGCCUUGGGUUCCAUCCUCAGCAUGAAACAAAAAAGAAUAGUUCAGUUUCCCAGAGUGAGGACCACAUGUCAAAGAGCCUAGGUCAGGUAGACCUACAUUAUAUUUUAGAAAGUACCUCUUAUGCUGUCUGAGCCUUAGUUUUCUCAUUUGUACAGUAGGUAAUGAUUAACCUACAAUUUGUGAGGCUUAAAAAAAAACAGACAUACAGGGUUUAGGAUGGUGUUUAGAACAAAACAGUCUCCUAUAAGUGUGGAGCUUGUUUUCUUGGAUGCUAGAACCUGGGGGACUGCAUCCUGUUUGCCUGGGACAGCCCUGUGGUGUGCUUGUUGCCCCAGCAUGAUUAUUAACAGUGCCCCCUUUUGCUCUCAGAAGUCUCCCCAUUUGGGCAGUGAUUACAUGUACACCCCAGUUAGAACCCAAAAGUAGCUUUAACCCCCAUUGAAGCUGAGAAACAAGUCAAGCUUUUUGUCAUGAGUCAGGCUUCAUUUUGUCAGUUGCUCUUCAGUGUGUGCAAUGUUUACCAAGCACAAGUGGGAGGAAUCCGAGGUAGGUGUGGGUGUGCACAGAUGUGUGCCCCCUUAGCUGUAUUUGUGUGAAAGGGAAGCUCUUCUCUGAGGAGGCAAGUGAGCCAUUGGUUAUUUUCUGUAUUUCAGAAACCAUUUGUAACCCUGCAUCACAGAAGUCAAUGUCUAUGAUGUUGUACAUCCACCCAGCACUCUUUAUAUCAGAGAUUGGUCUAGGCUUCUCUGCAUA
rnacentral:lncRNA from 1 species